rnacentral:rRNA from 1 species
AUACGGAGGUUGCAAGCGUUAUUCGGAAUCACUGGGCGUAAAGGACGCGUAGGCGGGUUGGCAAGUCAGAUGUGAAAUCCUACAGCUUAACUGUAGAACUGCAUUUGAAACUGCUAACCUAGAGUAUGGGAGGGGGAGAUGGAAUUAGUGGUGUAGGGGUAAAAGCCGUAGAUAUCACUAGGAAUACCGAAAGCGAAGGCGAUCUCCUGGAACAUAACUGACGCUAAGGCGUGAAAGCGUGGGGAGCAAACAGGAUUAGAUACCCUAGUAGUCC